GUCAUAAUCCUCCUGCCUCAGCUCUAGCCGACUCACCCAGCGUUAUGGGCUUGCUGUCCUCCUGGUCCGAGCCCACACCUGUCCGGGGACUGCUGCUCUGCUCCGCAUCUGCCAAGAGAGGAGGGGACAGUUGGUGACACUACAGGGACCUAUGAUCCUAGUUCUGCCACUUUUGUGCUGUGUGGGCUUUGCAAAUCUGCAGGAGACAGCAUGACGGCUGGACUGGAGGUCGCCUUUCCCGAUGACAGAUGGCACAGGCGGACGGUGACACAGACGGUCACCCUGACCCACCCACAGAAGCUAACGCCAGCCUGGCUGUGCCGCUGCGCCUUCAGGACGAGCACUUGACAGUACUUCAAACUCCCGCCAAUCCACUGUUGCAUAAAUAAAAGUGGGGCCAAAC
rnacentral:lncRNA from 1 species